AAUGAACGCUGGCGGCAGGCCUAACACAUGCAAGUCGAACGGGUCCUUCGGGACUAGUGGCGGACGGGUGAGUAACGCGUGGGAACGUGCCCCUUGGUACGGAAUAGCCCCGGGAAACUGGGAGUAAUACCGUAUGUGGUCGAGAGACGAAAGAUUUAUCGCCAAGGGAUCGGCCCGCGUUGGAUUAGGUAGUUGGUGGGGGAAUGGCCUACCAAGCCGACGAUCCAUAGCUGGUUUGAGAGGAUGAUCAGCCACACUGGGACUGAGACACGGCCCAGACUCCUACGGGAGGCAGCAGUGGGGAAUUUUAGACAAUGGGGGAAACCCUGAUCUAGCCAUGCCGCGUGAUCGAUGAAGGCCUUAGGGUUGUAAAGAUCUUUCAGGUGGGAAGAUAAUGACUGUACCACCAGAAGAAGCCCCGGCUAACUCCGUGCCAGCCGCCGCUGUAA
rnacentral:rRNA from 1 species